rnacentral:rRNA from 1 species
GAUGAACGCUGGCGGCGUGCCUAAUACAUGCAAGUCGAGCGAACAGAUGAGGAGCUUGCUCCUCUGACGUUAGCGGCGGACGGGUGAGUAACACGUGGAUAACCUACCUAUAAGACUGGGAUAACUUCGGGAAACCGGAGCUAAUACCGGAUAAUAUAUUGAACCGCAUGGUUCAAUAGUGAAAGACGGUUUUGCUGUCACUUAUAGAUGGAUCCGCGCCGCAUUAGCUAGUUGGUAAGGUAACGGCUUACCAAGGCAACGAUGCGUAGCCGACCUGAGAGGGUGAUCGGCCACACUGGAACUGAGACACGGUCCAGACUCCUACGGGAGGCAGCAGUAGGGAAUCUUCCGCAAAGGGCGAAAGCCUGACGGAGCAACGCCGCGUGAGUGAUGAAGGUCUUCGGAUCGUAAAACUCUGUUAUUUGGGAAGAACAAAUGUGUAAGUAACUAUGCACGUCUUGACGGUACCUAAUCAGAAAGCCACGGCUAACUACGUG